UACAAGAAUUACCACAUGCUCAGUCUUGUUAGACAACAUUUAUUUAUUAUUUCAUGGUCUCCAGGCGCCAGAAUUUCAGUGCAAGUGAGCUGGGUCCUUGCUGGCUUCUUGCAAAACUGAAAUGAAGAUGUCUAGGGCUGGCAGUGACUCUCAUCUCAGACUUGGGCUCCUCCUCCAGGCUCACUGGAUUUAUCUUGGUGAUUCCCUCCCCAGUGUUCAUCAGUGAACAUUCUCAGCUCUUGCUGGCCACCCUCAUUUCCUGGCCAGAUGGCUGCCAUGGGCACUUUUAUGUAAAGUGGAUAGCAGAAAAACAAGGGGAAAUUAAAGAAGACAGAACAGUUCAGCUGUCUGU
rnacentral:lncRNA from 1 species